rnacentral:tRNA from 1 species
CAGGGUAUAGCUCAAUGGUAGAGCACAUGCUCAGUAUGCAUGAGGUCCUUGGUUCAAUCCCUGGCACCUUCU